CCUACGGGAGGCAGCAGUGAGGAAUAUUGGGCAAUGGAGGCAACUCUGACCCAGCCAAGCCGCGUGAGUGAAGAAGGUUUUCGGAUUGUAAAGCUCUUUCGGAUGUGACGAUGAUGACGGUAGCCUCUAAAGAAGCCACGGCUAUCUUCGUGCCAGCAGCCGCGGUAAUACGGAGGGGGCAAGCGUUGUUCGGAAUUACUGGGCGUAAAGGGAGUGUAGGCGGUUUAGUAAGAUAGUGGUGGGAUCCCAGAGCUUAACUUUGGAAUUGCCAUUAUAACUAUUAGACUAGAAUUACAGAGAGGAUAGUGGAAUACCCAGUGUAGAGGUGAAAUUCGUAGAUAUUGGGUAGAACACCAGUGGCGAAGGCGACUAUCUGGCUGUACAUUGACGCUGAGGCUCGAAAGCAUGGGGAUCGAACAGGAUUAGAUACCCUGGUAGUC
rnacentral:rRNA from 1 species